GACGAACGCUGGCGGCGUGCUUAACACAUGCAAGUCGAACGGUGAAGCGUCUUCCUUUUUGGUGGGUGUGGAUGAGUGGCGAACGGGUGAGUAACACGUGAGUAACCUGCCCCCUUCUUCUGGAUAACCGCAUGAAAGUGUGGCUAAUACGGGAUAUUCUGGGUCUGUCGCAUGAUGGGUCUGGGAAAGAUAUUGUUUCGGUGGGUGAUGGGCUCGCGGCCUAUCAGCUUGUUGGUGGGGUGGUGGCCUACCAAGGCGGUGACGCGUAGCCGGCCUGAGAGGGUGGACGGUCACAAGUGGACUGAGAAGCGGCCCAGACUCGUACGGGAGGCAGCAGUGGGGAAUAGUGCAAAAUGGACGCAAGCCUGAUGCAGCGACGCCGAGUGAGGGAUGGAGGCCUUCGGGUUGUCAACCUCUUUCGCCAGUGAAGCAGGCCUGCCUCGUUUGUGGGUGGGUUGACGGUAGCUGGAGAAGAAGCGCCGGCUAACUACGUG
rnacentral:rRNA from 1 species